UACGUAGGGUGCAAGCGUUAAUCGGAAUUACUGGGCGUAAAGCGUGCGCAGGCGGUUUUGUAAGUCUGUCGUGAAAGCCCCGGGCUCAACCUGGGAAUUGCGAUGGAGACUGCAAGGCUUGAAUCUGGCAGAGGGGGGUAGAAUUCCACGUGUAGCAGUGAAAUGCGUAGAGAUGUGGAGGAACACCGAUGGCGAAGGCAGCCCCCUGGGUCAAGAUUGACGCUCAUGCACGAGAGCGUGGGGAGCGAACAGG
rnacentral:rRNA from 1 species